AUUAUAUCAACUAUAAACAGAAGAAAUUUAGAGUUUAAGGUUUACAGUCCUUACACAGUAAAUUAGAAUAACUAAUAGGGUUACGGGAAUGUCCCUUUAUAGAAGUUCAAAGUAAUUAAAACAAAAUGAAAUUAAAAGUCCUAUAGGGUUAACCUCCGCUAGGCAACUCUAGAGUUCGGGCGGUAACCUUUAUUCGUAACCCUCAUACUAUUCAAGAUCUGAAUCUUAAUCUUCCUGAUCUAAAACAGUU
rnacentral:lncRNA from 1 species